CUAGCAGAAUACUGACUUCCAGGCAACUACAACCAAGGGGAGAGGUCCCAGGAGCGCCCACUGUUAGGCUGGAGUUACAUAGGAAAGAACAGAGAGCAGCCACCACUGUACGGCCUGCACCAUCCUACAAGAUCUGAAAGUGCGGAGUCCUCAGAGCUGUCAGAGGAUGUGGGGCUUAUGACAACACCUGGGAGGAGAGAUGGAGAAGGCUUUUAUGGAGUCCCAGUGAGUCUCUUUCAGUGAACCUGGAGCUUGCCAGUUUGUCUAGACUGGCUUUGCCAGUGAACCCCAGGACCCUCUCGUCUCUGCUUCCCCAUUGGUGGAAUCCCAGGCAUACUGCUACAUCCAGCUUUUCGCUAUACACGCAUGCUGGGAUAGAACUCAGUUCCUCACAUUUGCAAGGUGUGUGAGCCAUGGAGGAGAAGGAUGCAAGGAGCCAAGGAAGUGUGAAGGCCCCCUUAUAUCCUCAUCAUCGCCACAGACAGGGACCACCCAGGCUUCAGACUUGGGAGGGCUCCCAGUACGACGAGUGGCACGUUCAGGCGUGAAGUCAGACUGCUGAUACUGUGAGGCAGCAGGAGCUGAUAGAAGAACAACCCCCUCCCACAUCCACCCCCAAGAAAGCAAGGAAGUAGUGGGCAGGGGCCGCAUGGAUCCAGGGUGGGCAGAAACGGCAAAUGGGCUUGUAGAUCUGACUAUAUAAUUUUAGCAACUUUUGAUGGCUCCCUUCCCACACCAGAUUCCACCAUUCUUCCUGACUGGUCCCUACUUAUCACCCUAUUUGUGUGUCCACAGUAAGGCAACCAGGGUUGGUUCCUAUAAAUCUGGGCUUCCUCA